AGACAACGGAUACAACGACGGUUCAGGUGUAUACUAACAUUGUUAUAGAUACUUUCAGCCUGGAGCAUCCCUCUGAAGGAGCGCCUACUGAUGCAAGUACCACUGCGGCUCCUACUACAUUGACUGAUAUAGAUACUUUCAGCCUGGAGCAUCCCUCGGAAGGAACGCCUACUGACGCAAGUACCACUGCGGCUCCUACUACAUUGAC